UACGAAGGGGGCUAGCGUUGUUCGGAAUUACUGGGCGUAAAGCGCACGUAGGCGGACUGCCAAGUCAGGGGUGAAAUCCCGGGGCUCAACCUCGGAACUGCCUCUGAUACUGUCAGUCUAGAGUCCGGAAGAGGUGGGUGGAAUUCCUAGUGUAGAGGUGAAAUUCGCAGAUAUUAGGAAGAACACCGGUGGCGAAGGCGGCCCACUGGUCCGGAACUGACGCUGAGGUGCGAAAGCGUGGGGAGCAAACAGG
rnacentral:rRNA from 1 species